UACGGAGGGUGCAAGCGUUAUCCGGAUUCACUGGGUUUAAAGGGUGCGUAGGUGGUCAAGUAAGUCAGUGGUGAAAUCUCCGGGCUUAAUCCGGAAACUGCCAUUGAUACUAUUUGUCUUGAAUACUGUGGAGGUCAGCGGAAUAUGUCAUGUAGCGGUGAAAUGCUUAGAUAUGACAUAGAACACCAAUUGCGAAGGCAGCUUACUACACAGUUAUUGACACUGAGGCACGAAAGCGUGGGGAUCAAACAGG
rnacentral:rRNA from 1 species